GAUGAACGCUGGCGGCGUGCCUAAUACAUGCAAGUCGAGCGAAUGGAUUAAGAGCUUGCUCUUAUGAAGUUAGCGGCGGACGGGUGAGUAACACGUGGGUAACCUGCCCAUAAGACUGGGAUAACUCCGGGAAACCGGGGCUAAUACCGGAUAACAUUUUGAACCGCAUGGUUCGAAAUUGAAAGGCGGCUUCGGCUGCCACUUAUGGAUGGACCCGCGUCGCAUUAGCCAGUUGGUGAGGUAACGGCUCACCAAGGCAACGAUGCGUAGCCGACCUGAGAGGGUGAUCGGCCACACUGGGACUGAGACACGGCCCGGACUCCUACGGGAGGCAGCAGUAGGGAAUCUUCCGCAAUGGACGAAAGUCUGACGGAGCAACGCCGCGUGAGUGAUGAAGGCUUUCGGGUCGUAAAACUCUGUUGUUAGGGAAGAACAAGUGCUAGUUGAAUAAGCUGGCACCUUGACGGUACCUAACCAGAAAGCCACGGCUAACUACGUGCCAGCCGCCGCGGUAA
rnacentral:rRNA from 1 species